rnacentral:lncRNA from 1 species
GUGAAGUAACCACAUGCCCAGUGGAAAAUAAUGCUGAGCAGAUCUUGAUACAAGGCAGUGUGGUCUUGCUCCUCUGUUUACAGAGGAAUCCUUUCAUGCAGGCAUGAUAAAUGGAGGAUUUAAACCACUGAGCUCUUCUAAGCUAACAGGCCGUUUGUCUCGAAGUUUCCAGGUUUCCAGGCUGUCUUCAAGGAGUACACCAUUGACUUUGAAAUUAGUUGUUAUGUGGAAAGAUACAUUCUAAGUCUCUAAAUUAUCAAGCUGCAGGAACUUGUCACUCCAGUGCUGUCCUGGAGUCCAGCUCUGUUCCGGCCCUCCCUUCUGUCCUGCGAGGUUGUCCCAUGGGUGAAUUCGGCUCUUUUCUGCUUCUAGAUGCUGGCACCUGCACUCCUCCUCCUUGCUUUUCUUGAGCAUCAGUAUUUCCAACUUCUAUUUUCUAGUUUUAUUUUGUUUGUUUGUUUGUUUCUAUGACAUAGAGAACCUCUGAAUUUCCUUGAAGGGAAAAGGAGUUUUAGAAGAAGUGGAUGGUUUCUCAGAUUGCACUCAAGGGUGUUUUCUUUAGUUUGUAGAUUUUUCAGGAGCGAAAACACUUUGGUUGAUGAUAUGUGUAUGUGCGCGUGUGUGAGAGAUCUACCACCACAGGAAAGAAAGGAUAUGUGUUACAUCUUUCUCUUUUAAAUUAAAGCAAGUUGUGAUCUUUUUAGAGGAUGUUUCAGAAUGUCCUUGAAGAGAUGUCCCAGGAUGGCAUCACCCAACCAGACCAAUUACUUUUCUGGAGGCACUCAGGGAUGAAACUUUUUCUCCUUCCAGAAUACUUUCCUUCUAACCCGUGUCCUUAAUAAUUUAUCAUCUGCAUGACAAUGACCAGAGUUGUAGUUUCUAUGCAGAUUCCUGAGUUAUAUCCCAGACCCACUGAGUCCGAGCCUUGCAGGUUGUGAGCCGGGUAACUGCAUUAAAAAAAAUUUUUUUUUUUAAAUGUUUAUUUAUUUUUGAGAGAGAGAGGGAGACAGAGUGUGAGCAGGGGAGGGGCAGAGAGAGGGGGAGACAGAAUCCAAAGCAGGCUCCAGGCUCUGAGCUGUCAGCACAGAUGUGGGGCUCGAACUCACCAAACAUGAGAUCAUGAACUGAGCUGAAGUCGGUGGCCUCGGCUGAGCCUCCCAGGUGCCCCAGGAAUCUGCAUUUUUAAUGGGCAGCCCAGCUUUAGAACCCGUUCUCCUAGCAGAUCUCCCACUGAUUACAGAGCAUCUCCUGUCUGCCUCACUUGUAACAAAGCCACAGACCCUUCUGUCUCAGAUACAGGACUGGAGGGAGAGAAGACGUCUCCCUACCUCUUCUUCCAAAGCUCUCUUGUGUGGCUGGGCCUCGUGUCUGCGGAUGAGAAGGUCAUGCGGGAAGGUCAGUGAACAAGGCUCAGGAACCACACAAGGAAUGGAGCACUGCGAUGUCGGGGCCUCUUCUGGUCCGGGACUACGGAACCAAACACCAUUUAGUUUUGUCACUCACUAGUCCUCGAAAACUUACUGAGUGCUUCCUUAAUAAAUAAACCAGGCACCAUUCUUCAAUUUUUUGUCAGAUAUGAAAAAUGAAGCUGAGGUUUAAGUCCCAAAUUAUUCCCAAAUAGGCAGCACCAGCAAAAUAAUUAGGAGAAUUAAGACAGUCCUCUCCCUUUCUCUGAGUGUGUGUGUGGUGCCUUUGUGUCACACACAGGUGGGUUAGGGACUUUAGCUUAUGGUUUUCCAAAUGUGUGUAGAAUUAAUUCACUUUAUUACUUCCUUCAUGCAUUUGUUUGUUCGCUUAGUAUGCAUCCACCCAUCCACUCAUUCAACUAGUGUCUGUCGUAAGCCUGCUGUGCGUCAGUCUAGGCGAUACGAAUACGGUGAUGAACGAGACAAAGUUUUGGCCCUCAUGGAGUUUUUAUUUCAAGGCAGACAAUGCCCUCAUAUGCUUAUUACAUAAACAUUUUGCAAUUUAUGUUUCCAGUAGAGAUUGGCAGUUCAACAGACUGCAAAUUGGCAGUUCGACAGACUGCCCUUGCUUUUCUCUUCCUGGCUUGAAAAUGUUCUUUCAGGAAAGACACCUUCCCAGACAUUUCAUUACAUGUUUGAAGUAUUUAUACACAUACCUGGGGAAAAUGAACUCUAAAACUGUGAACUCUACAAGGCACGUAAGUCAAAAGGGUAAGUUGAGUUGUUCAUCUGUGGGUUUUGACUGGUUCCCACCAGGAAACCCCUUUCAAGAAAAACCUUUACCAGCCACACACUUCAAAGAGGUUCCCAGCACUGCCGUGUUUAAAAUGUGUUAAUUGGACCUAACUGCAAACAGCUGCCUAGUUUAGCCACUGUUUGGAUUGGCAUUCACCCAUCUAGAUCUAGGUCAUUUUUUUUGUUAUGUGCCAUUCAUAUUGGGAUCUUAAUACAUUUGUUUUAACCUCAGAAUGUGUUGCCAUCCAAAGGAUUGUGGACAAUAAAUAAAAACACAGAGACAACAUAUUUGUCAAGCCCUGAGGUCACUGCCAAGUACAAAAGUACAUUUGAGCGGAUGCCCUAUUUGAUAGACUGUGUGGGGUCAUGGUCCUCACUUAGACAUAUGGGGAAAUUUCCAAAACUAACAACAAAAUCCGUGGCGUUUGCUGGCUUUUGUAUGUGGGUGGAAGCAUUGAAUGAUCUUUUAUUGUCUGUUCUCUUCCACUUAACUGUUGAAUUUUAAUGCCACAUUGUAGGAAGGAGGAAAGAGUAAAUAUUUAUUAGUUUCUUAGGUGAAAUUGCUGCUGGAUCUCGUUUUAUAGAAUGUUGAUGUUUUUCAAGAAGCACGUGUGGGGGCAGCUUAUUGGUUAAAUGCGAAGUGUGGUUUUCAAAAUGUUUAACAAGUGCGAAGGCAUGAGCACUGGGCGAUUAGAAGGCACAUUCACUGGGCAUAGUAACUGGCGUGGGCGUACUCAUAUGUUUUUGUGUAGCAACCAAAGGAAUUAUUAUCCAGCAAGUUACCACCAAGAGCAACUAUCUUGUGACCCUGCUGGGAUUCAGUAUAGACUGUGCACCCUGGAGUUAUCUUCCGCAGGAGUGACAGAGCUGGGACAUUUAAGUUCCCAUCUGAUGUUGGUUGAAGGCUGCAUCUUGGACAUUAAUGCUACGGCACUUCUGUCCUGCCAUUCGAGUGGCCAAGUAGGGUCUGGAAGAGGAUGCCUUUAUGCAAAGUAAUUCUGGGGCUGGCAGCUGGAAGUCAGGCUGCCGAGUAGUGAGAGCAUAUGUGCCCAGGGAUAUGGAUGGGGCACCAGCAACGUCUGCUCUGGUGGUUGAAGGGCAUUUGAGGAUGUUGGUGGGGCUGAAAUGGGGAUCAUGAAAUAGCUCUCUAUCCAUCUGGGGCACAUCAAUCAGUAGCAGUAGCCUUCCUGAGAUUCUUUGAAACAAAUUGGUCCUCAGAACAUGACUUAUAAAUUAAAUGGGUUUAAGGGGAUGGAGUAUAUAAUAAACAUUGAUGGUGAGAAUAAUGUAAGUAGUUAAUAUUUAUUUGUUUGCACUUUGUGAUAGGCAUGGCUUCCCCUUUUUCCAGAAGAGGAAAUGAGGACUGGAGAUGUCGAAU